GUUGGGAUAGCUCAUUCAGUAGGUAGAGCAUGAGGCUCUUAAUCUCAGGGUUGUGGGUUUGAGCCCCACGUUGGGCA
rnacentral:tRNA from 1 species